rnacentral:lncRNA from 1 species
AUCACAUUCGAAAAAUAAACACAAAUUUGAUCCAAAGAGGAAUAAAGAACCUUGUCCCACAGUCCCAGCAGAGCCACCGUGGUUUCCUAUCAUCACAGCUUCAAGCAGCUGCUGCCCCCUCACCGGUGCCACAUCGUAUGCAGUGUUGUGGGGAAAACUCCUCAGCCCUUCCCUACACCCUCAAGGGAUGAUCAUGAGAAGUUACAUAACUCCUUUUUGUGUCUCUCACUUAUUUCAACCAUUUCUUCACCAUAAUUAUUCCUGCUUACUGACUGACUGAUUGAGAGAAGAUUGAUUGAUUGAUUGAUUGAUUGAGAGAAGGUCUCAUAUAACUCUAGCUGGCCUGAAAUUUACUGAGUCAACCAGGCUGGUCUUGAAUUCACAAGAGAUUCUCCACCCCAUGCUUUGGGCAUGCUAAGAUUUAAGGCAUAUACCACCAUGCCCAGUUAUUUUUGUCCUUUUAAAGUUUCUUUGAGAGAGGAUCUUUUUAAGUUGCCCAUACUGGGACUCUCCAUGUAGCCCAGGCUAGCUUUAAACCUCAGUUCUCCUGCCCUGGCCACCCUAAUGCUAGGACACCGGUGUGUGCCACAUCUAGCUUGCCUUACUUCUAAUCUUUUCUUCAAAACAGUUAUGGGGAAGGGGUUCCGGAGCAAUUGGCUCAGCACUUACUGCUCUCCCAGAGGAUUUGAGCUCAGCUCUCAGCCCCACACAUGGUGGCUUACAACCUCCUGUAACUCCAGCUUUAAGGGACUCUGACACCCUCUUCUGGUCUCUGGGCACCUUCACUCAUGUACACAUAACCCACAAACAAGUACACAUAAGUAAAAAUAAAUCUAAAAAAAGAAAGUUUUAUGGUUCAAGCUUGUAAUCCCAAUACUUGAGAGGCUGAGGCAGGAGAAUGACUGUGAGUCCAAGUGCAGGCUGGGCUAUAUAAUAAGUACCAGGCCAGGACACGGAAUCCCUAUGGGGUGGGGGAAGCAGAAGACAUCUCUAGUCAACUGAGCAAGAACAGAAUACUCUGUGUUAAAAACAAAUAAGGCUGCCUGAUAUUUUGAUGGAAUCAACGAUCUGGCAGAUGACAGGAAGCAGCAGAUGUCUUACACAAGGGUGUCAGCCAGCUACUUGCUAAGGCACCAAACAAGUGGCUCAGCCAUCCUCGAUGACUGGAGGGCGAGAUGUAAGGAGCAGGUUUCAAUUUUGUUGUGCUAAAUCAAAGACUCAUUUGAAAAUGCUUUGGAGAAGAGGGUGGGGUGGCAGGGUCCCAGUUUGGCUUGCCAAUCAAUCUGUGUGGAAUAUGGCAACACUGACAUCCUGGGUUUGGAUGAUGACUUAGUUAGAAGGUUUGGCACUGUGCAAACUACCCCAAAUAGGUACAGGGGUACACAGUUCCCCCUGGUGACAUGAAGGUGUUGAAUUCUCCUGUUGGCAUCUGGUAGGCCAGAAAGGAAGAUGGCUGCAGGUAGGUCAGAUGGCUAAGAGAGCUUGGACCCAGCCACGACUCUCCUAUGGAGAGAGGAUGAUCCCACGAAGGGGCUUUGGGUUGUGUCCCUGGACGUCUGACGACCUCCAUGACGACUGAUGGAGGCUGGUGAGGAACAGUACCUGCACUCUGGGGCUAUGGGAAAUCAUGACGUGAUCACCAUGCUGUACUUGCGGGCAAUGCUUUCCCCAUGGCUUCUUUGCUAAUCUGUUGGCUGAGCGUGGACUCGGGAGGGAAAGCAAGGAAGAGAGGAGCAUCAGGGCAGCAGGGUGGGAGAGGGACACACAGGCUGCCAAUGCCUGGGAGUGUGAUCUUGGGGACAGGGCAGCACUGAGGUGCCCUGCUCCCGAGAACUCAGUUGGACAGAUGACCUUGCAGGACUUUCCUGUCUCUGCCCCCAUACAAGCCCUCUGGGCCUGUGAUACCCAGCCUGACUGCCAGGGAAGGCAUCACAGUGUGAAAAGGAAGGGUGGCAUAGGGGCAGGCCUCCUGGAUAAGGACACUAGGAGAUAUCUGAUGCUUCUGAGUUGGGGUCCAUAUCUGUACUGGGAAGCAGAGAUCCCAACUGUCUGCCCCACUGCUGAAGACUCUAAACCUUGACUCUCAUAUGCCCACUGUGGAAACGAGGGGCCUUCAGCUUUGAGAUGUUCCCCAGGUAGGGCCAAGGCCAUCUGCAGAGUGAACCAGAAGGAAAAUGAAAAGGCGUUUGGCUGGUCCUAGAAGCAGGCACACAAGGCCAGCAUGGUGCUUACUUAGUGAUGGUCCAAGUUGGACACAAGCUGGAUGUGGAAGGCAGCUCAUACCUGACAGAAGGUACCCUCCUCUUGACCUUGCAUCUAGCACCAGGGGCCAGCACAGGAAGGGACACCACUCUGUGACUGUAACCCAGCCUUCUGCACUCUAUGGGCAGUCCCAUUGUCUGUUAUCUCUGUGAUGGUCCUGGUGGGAGAAGAGGCUUCCCCGGUUUUCUGGAGAGGUGCCAGGCACCAUAGUCUGGGGGAGGAUGCUCAGAGCUCCUCUUUGUUGCUGUCAAGGGAUUGAGUCAGAGGCUCUGGAGCUGUGGAGUGGUCACCAAGCCACCUAUUGCUGUUCUCCAUGGCCGUGUAGUCCUGCAGGAGCCUGCUUUCCACACCAUGCUGCCAAAGGCUCUUGGUGCUUGAGAGCCCCUGCAUUCUCAGGUAUCCCUGCUGGCAAAAGGGCGGCAGCCUCUGGCGUGUGAGUGUGAACAGGAAACAGGACUCUAUGUGAAGACAAAAGGAGGUGUCAGGCCAGGCUUGGGAGACAAGCACGGAGAGGAGCUGGGGCAAUGCUGGGGACCUAGGUAACCACAUAGUAUACUUUCUACCUAGCAGUCAUCUUGGUUUUCAUAUUGUAUAUACGACUCUAUACUCCCUGCACUUAGCCAUCACUAUCAACAGGACCAACACAGUGGUAUAAUAUACCUGAGUUGGGUAACCCUUACGUGCUGAUUAGCUUUCUGACUGCUGGACACAGGCUAGGGUCAUCUGGGAAGAGGGCCCCAUUUUAUUUUAUUUUAUUUUAUUUUUAUUUUUUGUUUUUUC